GACAGAGGGUGCGAACGUUGUUCGGAAUUACUGGGCGUAAAGCGCGUGUAGGCGGCAGCGCAAGUCGGGCGUGAAAUCCCACGGCUCAACCGUGGAAGUGCACUCGAAACUGCGCAGCUAGAGUCCUGGAGAGGAAGGUGGAAUGCUUGGUGUAGAGGUGAAAUUCGUAGAUAUUCGCAGGAACACCAGUGGCGAAGGCGGCUUACUGGUCCAUUACUGACGCUGAGGUGCGAAAGCGUGGGGAGCAAACAGG
rnacentral:rRNA from 1 species